rnacentral:misc_RNA from 1 species
AAAUGCGAUAAGUAGUGUGAAUUGCAGAAUACAGUGAAUCAUCGAAUCUUUGAACGCACAUUGCGCCCUUUGGUAUUCCAAAGGGCAUGCCUGUUCGAGCGUCAUUUGUACCCUCAAGCUUUGCUUGGUGUUGGGCGUCUUGUCUCUAGCUUUGCUGGAGACUCGCCUUAAAGUAAUUGGCAGCCGGCCUACUGGUUUCGGAGCGCAGCACAAGUCGCACUCUCUAUCAGCAAAGGUCUAGCAUCCAUUAAGCCUUUUUUCAACUUUUGACCUCGGAUCAGGUAGGGAUACCCGCUGAACUUAAGC